GGCGCUAUAGUGUAGUGGUUAUCACUUGGGAUUCUGACUUUCGGUGUUCCCAAAACCCAGGUUCGAGCCCUGGUAGCGCCU
rnacentral:tRNA from 1 species